UACGUAGGGUGCGAGCGUUGUCCGGAAUUAUUGGGCGUAAAGAGCUUGUAGGCGGUCUGUCGCGUCUGCUGUGAAAAUCCGGGGCUCAACCCCGGACUUGCAGUGGGUACGGGCAGACUAGAGUGUGGUAGGGGAGACUGGAAUCCCUGGUGUAGCGGUGGAAUGCGCAGAUAUCAGGAGGAACACCGAUGGCGAAGGCAGAUCUCUGGGCCGUAACUGACGCUGAGGAGCGAAAGCAUGGGGAGCGAACAGG
rnacentral:rRNA from 1 species